AAUGAACGCUGGCGGCAGGCCUAACACAUGCAAGUCGAACGGAUCCUUCGGGAUUAGUGGCGGACGGGUGAGUAACGCGUGGGAACAUACCCUUUGGUACGGAAUAGCCUCGGGAAACUGGGAGUAAUACCGUAUGUGGUCGAGAGACGAAAGAUUUAUCGCCAAAGGAUUGGCCCGCGUUGGAUUAGGUAGUUGGUGGGGUAAUGGCCUACCAAGCCGACGAUCCAUAGCUGGUUUGAGAGGAUGAUCAGCCACACUGGGACUGAGACACGGCCCAGACUCCUACGGGAGGCAGCAGUGGGGAAUCUUAGACAAUGGGGGAAACCCUGAUCUAGCCAUGCCGCGUGAUCGAUGAGGGCCUUAGGGUUGUAAAGAUCUUUCAGGUGGGAAGAUAAUGACUGUACCACCAGAAGAAGCCCCGGCUAACUCCGUGCCAGCAGCCGCGGUAA
rnacentral:rRNA from 1 species